rnacentral:lncRNA from 1 species
GAGCCAUUAGCCCUAAGGGAUACGGAUGAAGUAGAUCCAACCAUCCCACUGCUUGAUGAAGAAGCACAGAACUUUGAAUUCAAGGCUGCCUUUAUCUAGAUCCCUGACUGACCUGCACUGAGGAGAAAGCAGUUCCAGCUUUGGAAACUGGGGCACUGGGGGAGCCAGGUUCAGGGACAGAGAAUUUGAGCAGUGUCCUGGUAACAGCCUGCAUGGAAGCAGAGGUCAGUUCCUGAGAAGCUCUGCCUGCGUACCUCCUCAGUUUGGGGGAAGGAGGAGCCCCGACCUGGUCAAAAUCAGCCUUCCUUCCCCAGAGCGCCUGUGACCUGAGACCAGGCAAGAACCACGACUGACCACAGGGGAGAAUCCAGUCACUUUCGUUACACUGUGCUCCUGUUCCCUUGGGAAGCCAGCCCCACACUCCUGUAGACUCUCUCUCAUCCCCUAGAUGAGCCUUUUCGUCUACCCCUUGGACAUUCUGACCUCGUACACACCUCGAAGUGUACCGGUAACUCUGCUCUAAUAUGUCAAGUUCUGAAAACAUUUCCACUCUUCUGGCCAAGGAGGCUCAGCCAGUUGUGGGGUGAAAUUUGGGAAGCCUGGAUUGGGAAGUGAAGAUCACCUUGUUCUGUGGAAAGUGAAAGAGGAAUUGAAGCGAGGAAGCUAACGCUCUUCCUUUGGUUCCAGCGCAUCAACCUUCACCUCUCCCCGCAGCACCGCGAUCACCAGCCAUCAAGGCCACCUUGCCCGGUGCCUUUUUUUUUAAAUAUGGCUUUAAAUGCUUCAUCGUGGUUAGAAGACAACAUAGAGAAGCAUUAACAAAAUGAUGGGGAAGACACAAAAUAGAAGAACAGAGAAAGAAGAAAGAGGAAGUAGAAUUCAGGAGGAGAAAAAAUCAUGACAUUGGUUUAUUGAAAACUGAACAGAAGGCAAAAUUGCACCCAGCCACCUCCAGCCCAGCAGGCUUGUCAAAACCAACUCAGACACAGGGGGACUCUUACCUAUUUGUCUCUGGAUCUUCAGAAUGGAGUCAGGAGAGGUGGCAUUUGGAGGCAGCGGAGCUGUGCUGGUUACCUUCGUUUCCCCCUCUGCAUCUACAGAGGUGUUUUGCACAUAAAAGGAUUUCAACAGAGUGAAAUGAUCACUAACUUUUAAGUUAUAUCUACUCUUGCAAAGUGAAAUGUGGAGUUCAGAUGUCUGGGGGGAUAAAAAGGUGUUAAAAAAAGACCCAAAUGGUCCACAUGAAUAAAAGAUGAUACAUUUGGGCCA